AACCUUACCCGGGCUUGAAAGUUAGUGAAUGUGGGAGAGACGCCACAGUUCUUCGGGACACGAACCUAGGUGCUGCAUGGCUGUCGUCAGCUCGUGCCGUGAGGUGUUGGGUUAAGUCCCGCAACGAGCCGCAACCCCUGUGAAUAGUUGCCAGCACGUAAAGGUGGGGACUCUAUUCAGACUGCCUGUGCAAACAGAGAGGAAGGAGGGGACGACGUCAAGUCAUCAUGGCCCUUACGUCCGGGGCUACACACGUGCUACAAUGGCCGGUACAGAGGGCAGCUACCUGGCAACAGGACGCCAAUCUCAAAAAGCCGGUCACAGUUCGGAUCGGGGUCUGCAACUCGACCCCGUGAAGUUGGAUUCGCUAGUAAUCGCAGAUCCGCAAUGCUGCGGUGAAUACGUUCCCGGGCCUU
rnacentral:rRNA from 1 species